rnacentral:rRNA from 1 species
CUACGGGGGGSSAGCAGUAGGGAAUCUUCCGCAAUGGACGAAAGUCUGACGGAGCAACGCCGCGUGAGUGAUGAAGGCUUUCGGGUCGUAAAACUCUGUUGUUAGGGAAGAACAAGUACAAGAGUAACUGCUUGUACCUUGACGGUACCUAACCAGAAAGCCACGGCUAACUACGUGCCAGCAGCCGCGGUAAUACGUAGGUGGCAAGCGUUAUCCGGAAUUAUUGGGCGUAAAGCGCGCGCAGGCGGUUUCUUAAGUCUGAUGUGAAAGCCCACGGCUCAACCGUGGAGGGUCAUUGGAAACUGGGGAACUUGAGUGCAGAAGAGAAAAGCGGAAUUCCACGUGUAGCGGUGAAAUGCGUAGAGAUGUGGAGGAACACCAGUGGCGAAGGCGGCUUUUUGGUCUGUAACUGACGCUGAGGCGCGAAAGCGUGGGGAGCAAACAGGAUUAGAUACCCCKRGUAGUCA